rnacentral:misc_RNA from 1 species
CAACCCUCAAGCCUGGCUUGGUGUUGGGGCUCUGCGUCUGCAGUCCCUUAAAUCCAGUGGCGGACACGCUAGGUCUCCGAGCGCAGUAGUUUCUCCUCGCUCAGGGCGUCCGGCGUGGGCUUGCCUCGCACCCAUCUUUUACAA